UAUAAGCCCAGCGCCCAGCUGAGGACCACCACUAUCGUAGAGCAAGACAGACAUUUCCACUCAACACACCUGUCAACUCCACACCUGUCGACUAUAGGCCUGUUACGUUGAGCACAGCCAGGUCCUGCGAUAAGCAGAAAUGAACAUCAAAAUUGUGUUGGUGCAGGUGUUGGUGGUGCUGGUGGCGCUGCUGGGGGCGGUGCUGGCGGGGCCGCAGCUCAUCACCAAGAAGAGAGACUUCCCUGGCCAGAGGCGCCUCGGGACCACCAACUACCGUGGCCACAGUUUCGGCAAGAGAGGUUUCAGUAUGCUACCAAUGGCGAGACAGAGGUAUUAGAAGAAUAAGAUGACAAUGGAGUCCCUUUAUCCUGGAAGAUGACCUGGAAAUUCCAUUCCUCUGGCACCUCGCUCAUAUCCUGAGGCAACACAUAUCCUGCUCGAGUUCCUUCUCUCAUAAUCUACAUAAGGCAAACCCAUAGCAAGCCCCAAAUAAAACUAUAUAUAAUCAACAUAACCAACCACAAGCGUCACUUCUGUUGAUAUGCCACCUACAGGCAACAACAGCCUGGGAAUCAUGCCUGUCAUUGAUGUCCCUGGAAUGUGUGAAAUGUGGUAACCUCUUCACUUUUAGCAUUUUGCCCCAACCCCCUUUGAUAAACACCAGUCUACAGAUUUGCUCAUAUCAUCACAUUAAUUUGUACUAUAUUGUUUUCUGUUGAGUUACGCACUUCUCUGUUUUAUCUACGUUGCAUGUUUUUUAUAUUAUAUUGUAGAAUACACUGUUAUGUUUCCUAGUUUAUUAGUACGUCUGAAGGGCGCGUGAGCGAAACUCAUAGUUGUUAAAUAUUGUAAAUAUGAUUUUUUUUUUUUUGUAGGCGUCCAUGUUAAACGCCAUUUUAAUAUCGUUAAGUAGUAAUUAACUGUAUAAAUAUUUACGAAACGAGGGGAAUAGUCAUGCAAAUUAUAUUAUUGUUAUAAAUAAACUGUCAAACCUGUA